UUUUAAAUUUCUCUUAUCAGAAAGAAAAACAUUACUCCUGGAAGUUUGAUGAAAGCAAUGAUUAGAUCUGGAGAGGGCACCACAAAACCUGUUGAAGGGGAUCAGGUCAUAUUUCACUGCACCAUUCGAACCAUGGAUGGAGUGAUUGUUAACUCUACAAGAUCAGAACAUGGAGGCAAGGGAUAUCCUAAUAGGCAUAUUGUGGGCAAGAGCAAGAUGCUGCUUGGAUUUUGUGAAGGCCUUCCCACUAUG